AUGAACCUACGGGGGGCAGCAGUGGGGGAUAUUGGACAAUGGGGGGAACCCUGAUCCAGCGACGCCGCGUGAGUGAAGAAGUAUUUCGGUAUGUAAAGCUCUGUCAGCAGGGAAGAAAGCAAUGACGGUACCUGACCAAGAAGCCCCGGCUAACUACGAGCAAGCAGCCGCGGUAAUACGUAGGGGGCAAGCGUUAUCCGGAAUUACUGGGUGUAAAGGGAGCGUAGACG
rnacentral:rRNA from 1 species